GACGAACGCUGGCGGCGUGCUUAACACAUGCAAGUCGAACGGUGAAGCGCCUUCCUUUUUGGUGGGUGUGGAUGAGUGGCGAACGGGUGAGUAACACGUGAGUAACCUGCCCCCUUCUUCUGGAUAACCGCAUGAAAGUGUGGCUAAUACGGGAUAUUCUGGGUCUGUCGCAUGAUGGGUCUGGGAAAGAUAUUGUUUCGGUGGGGGAUGGGCUCGCGGCCUAUCAGCUUGUUGGUGGGGUGAUGGCCUACCAAGGCGGUGACGGGUAGCCGGCCUGAGAGGGUGGACGGCCCCGCUGGGACUGAGCCACGGCCCCGCCUCCUACGGGAGGCAGCAGUGGGGAAUACUGCACAAUGGGCGCCAGCCUGAUGCAGCGACGCCGCGUGAGGGAUGGAGGCCUUCGGGUUGUGAACCUCUUUCGCCAGUGAAGCAGGGCUGCCUCGUCUGUGGGUGGGUUGACGGUAGCUGGAUAAGAAGCGCCGGCUAACUACGUG
rnacentral:rRNA from 1 species